rnacentral:rRNA from 1 species
GAAACCUCUGCCCAGCAGAACGACCCGCGAACAAGUCUCACCCGCCCCGUCCGCCGCGGGGGCGAUCGCUCGCCGGUCCCCCCGCCGCGCCAACAACCGAAACACCCCGGCGCAAGUCGCGCCAAGGAAAUCACAGGGCGAAAGGCAGCGCCCCGUCGCCCCGGGAACGGUGCGCGGACGGGCCGCUGCGUCUCCACCAUCAGAAUACAAACGACUCUCGGCAACGGAUAUCUCGGCUCUCGCAUCGAUGAAGAACGUAGCGAAAUGCGAUACUUGGUGUGAAUUGCAGAAUCCCGCGAACCAUCGAGUCUUUGAACGCAAGUUGCGCCCGAAGCCCUCGGGCCGAGGGCACGCCUGCCUGGGUGUCACACGACAUCGCCCACCCCACCCCCGAGUCCCUCGGGGGCACGGCCGGUGGCGGAAGAUGGCCUCCCGGGAGCACGGUCUCGCGGUUGGCCCAAAAGCCAGGUCCCCGGCGACGUUCGCCUCGGCAACGGUGGUUGAGAGACCCUCGCACGGCGCCGCGCGGCGCGUCGUCGCUCCGGACCCGGAAGAACCCGACCCCUUCUCGCAACGCGACCCCAGGUCAGGCGAGACUACCCGCUGAGUUUAAGCAUAUCAAUAA